rnacentral:rRNA from 1 species
UUCUUACGGGGGGCAGCAGUGGGGAAUAUUGCACAAUGGGGGAAACCCUGAUGCAGCGACGCCGCGUGAGUGAAGAAGUAAUUCGUUACGUAAAGCUCUAUCAGCAGGGAAGAGAAUGACGGUACCUGAGUAAGAAGCCCCGGCUAACUACGUGCCAGCAGCCGCGGUAAUACGUAGGGGGCAAGCGUUAUCCGGAUUUACUGGGUGUAAAGGGAGCGUAGACGGCGGUGCAAGUCUGGAGUGAAAGGCAGGGGCCCAACCCCUGGACUGCUCUGGAAACUGUAGUGCUGGAGUGCAGGAGAGGG